CAGCAGCCGCGGUAAUACGUAGGUGGCAAGCGUUGUCCGGAAUUAUUGGGCGUAAAGGGCUCGCAGGCGGUUUCUUAAGUCUGAUGUGAAAGCCCCCGGCUCAACCGGGGAGGGUCAUUGGAAACUGGGAAACUUGAGUGCAGAAGAGGAGAGUGGAAUUCCACGUGUAGCGGUGAAAUGCGUAGAGAUGUGGAGGAACACCAGUUGCGAAGGCGACUCUCUGGUCUGUAACUGACGCUGAGGAGCGAAAGCGUGGGGAGCGAACAGGAUUAGAUACCCGAGUAGUCCCUGUCUCUUAUAC
rnacentral:rRNA from 1 species